rnacentral:snoRNA from 1 species
AAGACCUUACUUCAUAGGAUCAUAUCUGUAGUAAGUUCUUCACGAGACCUUCACAUCAUGUGAGAUUGAAAAAAGGUU